GGCCAUUGAGGAUUUUGCCAGAUUCUCUCACAGCUCAAUUUUUUUUAUGAAGCAACAUCAUGCCUGGUAUGGUUAUAUUCUUAUGGAUCUGUAGUUAGUCCCUGUAAGGCGCUGAGAUGAUGGCGGCAAUCUUGGUCUUGCUCAACUGAUUCUGUGGAACGCAUGGGGAAACCCUGGAAAGGAGCAGCUAACAGUCAUGCUCGCGCUUUGAUAUCUGUCUAUGCUGGCUGCGUAGAAUAAUGGUCCCCAAGGAGCUGGAAUAUUUGAGAAGCCAGUCAUAGUAUGCUGCUGAUCCCUACACAACAGCACCAAUGGAAAGAAUUUGUCAUGAAGA
rnacentral:sRNA from 2 species